UGGUGAGAGAAGGGGUGGGACCGCCGGACUUCUGGACUUUGGGCAGGGCAGAUCCUUCUGAAUUCCUAGCUGCUACCGAGAGUUUCUUCCGGCCUUGGGCCUGAGUGUGCAGCCAAGGGCUCUGCUGUGUACACAGCCCAGGUGAGGUCCCCCUGGCCAGGAUGUCAGGCCUGGUGUUGGGGCAGCGGGAUGAGCCUGCAGGGCAUCGGCUCAGCCAAGAGGAGAUCCUGGGGAGCACCAGGCUGGUGAGCCAAGGGCUGGAGGCCCUGCACAGUGAGCACCAGGCUGUGCUACAAAGCCUGUCCCAAACCAUUGAGUGUCUGCAGCAAGGAGGCCAUGAGGAAGGACUGGUACAUGAGAAGGCUCGGCAGCUGCGCCGUUCUAUGGAAAACAUCGAACUGGGGCUGAGUGAGGCCCAGGUGAUGCUGGCUCUUGCCAGCCACCUGAGCACAGUGGAGUCAGAAAAACAGAAGCUGCGGGCUCAGGUGCGGCGGCUGUGUCAGGAGAACCAGUGGCUCCGGGAUGAGCUUGCAGGCACUCAGCAGCGGCUACAGCGCAGUGAACAGGCCGUGGCUCAGCUGGAAGAGGAAAAGAAGCACCUGGAGUUCCUGGGGCAACUGCGACAGUAUGACGAGGAUGGGCAUACCUCGGAGGAGAAGGAAGGAAAUGCUACCAAGGAUUCGCUGGAUGACCUCUUUCCCAAUGAGGAGGAAGAAGAUUCCAGCAAUGGCUUGUCCCGUGGCCAGGGCUCUGCAGCAGCUCAGCAGGGUGGAUAUGAGAUUCCGGCAAGGUUGCGGACCCUUCACAACCUGGUGAUCCAGUAUGCAGCUCAGGGUCGCUAUGAAGUGGCUGUGCCACUCUGCAAGCAGGCACUAGAGGACCUGGAACGCACCUCUGGCCGUGGCCACCCUGAUGUUGCUACUAUGCUCAACAUCCUUGCUUUGGUGUAUCGGGACCAGAAUAAGUACAAGGAAGCUGCUCACCUGCUGAAUGAUGCCCUCAGUAUCCGGGAAAGCACUCUGGGCCGGGACCACCCAGCUGUGGCUGCCACACUCAACAAUCUGGCUGUGCUGUAUGGUAAAAGGGGCAAAUAUAAAGAGGCAGAGCCACUGUGUCAGCGGGCACUGGAGAUUCGAGAAAAGGUCCUGGGAACCGAUCACCCAGAUGUGGCAAAGCAGCUGAACAACUUGGCCCUAUUAUGCCAAAACCAGGGCAAGUAUGAGGCUGUGGAACGCUAUUACCAGCGGGCACUGGCCAUCUAUGAGGGGCAGCUUGGGCCGGACAACCCUAAUGUAGCUCGGACCAAGAACAACCUGGCUUCCUGUUACCUGAAACAGGGCAAAUAUGCUGAGGCAGAGACCCUGUACAAAGAGAUCCUGACCCGUGCUCAUGUGCAGGAGUUUGGCUCUGUGGAUGAUGACCACAAGCCCAUCUGGAUGCAUGCAGAGGAGCGGGAAGAGAUGAGCAAAAGCCAGCACCAUGAGGGCGGCACACCCUAUGCUGAGUAUGGAGGCUGGUACAAGGCCUGCAAAGUGAGCAGCCCCACAGUGAACACUACUCUGAGAAAUCUCGGAGCUCUGUACAGGCGCCAGGGAAAGCUAGAGGCAGCUGAAACCUUGGAGGAAUGUGCUCUGCGUUCCAGGAAACAGGGCACCGACCUAUCAGCCAGACCAAGGUGGCAGAGCUGCUUGGGGAGGGUGAUGGUAGAAGGACCUCCCAGGAGGGCCCUGGGGACAGUGUAAAAUUCGAGGGAGGUGAAGAUGCUUCUGUGGCUGUGGAGUGGUCAGGGGAUGGCAGUGGGACUCUGCAGAGGAGUGGCUCUCUGGGCAAGAUCCGGGAUGUGCUUCGUCGAAGCAGUGAACUCCUGGUGAGGAAGCUCCAGGGGACUGAGCCUCGGCCUUCCAGCAGCAACAUGAAGCGAGCAGCCUCCUUGAACUACCUGAACCAACCCAGUGCUGCACCCCUCCAGGGCUCCCGGGGCCUCAGUGCCAGCACCAUGGAUCUCUCUUCAAGCAGCUGACAUUCAACCCACCCUUCAGGCCUGCUGGUCCACCACAGGCCUCUCAGCAUUCCCUGUUGCUCCUGACUUUUUCCCAUUCCAAGGUGGGACAGUGAAGGGGAAGCAGUGUUUCCGAAGAUUGAAGAUUGCUGCUGCCUGUAGGGUCUCAGCUCCCUCCUCAGGAACUCCCCUUAGGAAGGACCCUCAGGAUACACUUUCCCCACUCUGGGGUCCUCUAGAGUAGCUGGCUCUGAGGCCCUCUGGGUGGGUAAUAAACAGGUAUGCAUCUCAGAGAUGCAGCCUGCACAGCUUUUCUGUCAGAGGGUUUGGGGCUGGCCAGCCAAGCUAUCUUGUCCUGGCCUCUCAUUUCCUCUCCUCUGCUGCCUCACUUCAGGUCCACAUAUUUCACAUUUCUUAAAUAAAAGAAUCAGGUAACCUU